rnacentral:tRNA from 1 species
UCUAAAACAGCAGACUGUCGCAUAGGGUUUAAAACCCUACAAAUGAAGGAUCCCUCCUUCUUUUAGAA